rnacentral:rRNA from 1 species
AUACGGAGGGUGCAAGCGUUACUCGGAAUUACUGGGCGUAAAGGACGCGUAGGCGGUUUAGAAAGUCAGAUGUGAAAGCCUAUGGCUUAACCAUAGAACUGCAUUUGAAACUUCCAAACUAGAGUGGGGGAGAGGUCAGUGGAAUUAGUGGUGUAGGGGUAAAAUCCGUAGAGAUCACUAGGAAUACUCAUUGCGAAGGCGACUGACUGGAACUUAACUGACGCUGAGGCGUGAAAGCGUGGGGAGCAAACAGGAUUAGAAACCCGGGUAGUCC